UAGGGAAUCUUCCACAAUGGACGCAAGUCUGAUGGAGCAACGCCGCGUGAGUGAAGAAGGUUUUCGGACCGUAAAGCUCUGUUGUUGGUGAAGAAGGAUAGAGGUAGUAACUGGCCUUUAUUUGACGGUAAUCAACCAGAAAGUCACGGCUAACUACGUGCCAGCAGCCGCGGUAAUACGUAGGUGGCAAGCGUUGUCCGGAUUUAUUGGGCGUAAAGCGAGCGCAGGCGGAAGAAUAAGUCUGAUGUGAAAGCCCUCGGCUUAACCGAGGAAUUGCAUCGGAAACUGUUUUCUUGAGUGCAGAAGAGGAGAGUAGAACUCCAUGUGUAGCGGUGGAAUGCGUAGAUAUAUGGAAGAAUACCAGUGGCGAAGGCGGCUCUCUGGUCUGCAACUGACGCUGAGGCUCGAAAGCAUGGGUAGCGAACAGGAUUAGAUACCCUGGUAGUCCAUGCCGUAAACGAUGAGUGCUAAGUGUUGGGAGGCUUCCGCCUCUCAGUGUCUGCAGCUAAACGCAU
rnacentral:rRNA from 1 species